AUCUCGUGGUGGUCAUGGAGAGUCUCCAUCCAGCUGGAUCACUGUCACAGGGAAACCUACAAACACAUCUCCAUCUACUCCCACACCUGUAUCUACAUCCACUUCUAUCCCUACAUCAGCCCCUGCCCCGCAUCUUGCUGUUCCUGUGUUAAUCUCUGUUGGAUCAGUCUGUGUUUUGGUGCUACUGGUGUUACUGGUUCUGCUGGUGAGACAAUGCAAUCACAGAAAACCUGAAGCAGAUCAAGACAAAGCUGCAGGAGAAGAUGUCACAUACAGUGACGUCAAGAUAUCACAUGGUCGACAGCAGCCUGUGAAACACAGCAGAGAGAGAGAUUCUGCUACAGUCUACUCAGAAACGAGAAUUGAAGACGUCAGUUAUGGAGAAAUCGUCAUCAAAGACAAGAAGAAAAAGUCAAAGACAAAAGAGAGCGACAGCAUGGCGGUCUACUCCUCAGUGAAAACUAAAGACCUCAGUUAUGAACAAGUAGCCAUCAGCCCAAAGAGAACCAGAGACUUUAAACCAGAGCCAGAGGUCGUCUACUCUUCACUGAAGUAGUCCACCAGUCCAACCACUGACGUCCAGCUGCUGGUCUCUAACUGGUUCCCCCAGCACCUCAGACCAGAGGA